rnacentral:sRNA from 1 species
CAACUUCCCUUGGGUGAUCAAUGGCCUCCUGGAGGCCAAAGUGUCCUUGGACCGGAUCCAGCUUUUCCUCGACCUUCCAAACCACAACCCCCAGGCCUACUACAGCCCAGAUCCCCCUGCAGAGCCAUCUACAGUAUUGGAGCUGCAUGGAGCCUUGUUCUCCUGGGACCCAGUUGGAACCAGCCAGGAGACCUUCAUCAGUCAUCUCGAAGUGAAAAAGGGUAUGCUGGUGGGCAUCGUGGGGAAGGUCGGCUGUGGGAAGAGCUCCCUGCUGGCUGCCAUCGCUGGAGAGCUCCACAGGUAACCAACCUCCUAUGCACCCCUGUCCUUACUUUGUCCUUUAGCAAACACUGAGCCCCUCUUAUGUGUUGGACACCUUUUGGGGGUCAGGGGUACUAAGAAGAGCAACGCAUGGUCCCUUUAUUGGGAGAGUUUUCAAUCUGGAAAGAAGGAGGUGGCCAAGAAAGCGAAUCAUUGUAAUCAUUACACCAGAGUGUUUUAAAUGCUAUAAUAGUCAGCAAAGGAAUGGAAACAUCCAGUGUCAGCUAUUCUUUCAGAAAUGUGGCUGUGCAGAGAAGGGAUCCAGAGAGGAGCAUAGGUUUGAGGGAGGACCUUGUUUUCAGAUGGGAACAAGUACAAUGUGGUGGCCAUACUCUCCACUGAGCUCCUGAACAGAUGUAAGUACAACAGCUGCUUGGCUGUAGCCAAAGAGCUAUUUCUUCCCUUCUUCGCCCAGAAUGGGCUUCAUUAGGACCCCUUGACCUCAGGAGCUGCCAUCUCAGUCAUGUGACAUGAAGGGGGACCCUGUGUAGAAGACAGCAGCCUGGGGAGGCUUCUAGGAGUCAAGGGCUGGGCAUGGAGGGACCCAGAGGAGAGCUGGUCCUCAUAUUGCUCGCCUGGCUCUCUGCAGGCUGCGUGGGCAUGUGGCAGUGCAGGGGCUGUCCAAGGGCUUUGGCCUGGCCACCCAGGAACCCUGGAUCCAGUUUGCCACCAUCCGAGACAACAUCCUCUUUGGGAAGACAUUUGAUGCACAGCUGUACAAGGAGGUGCUAGAAGCCUGCGCCCUCAAUGAUGACCUCAGUAUCCUGCCUGCUGGAGACCAGACAGAGGUGGGGGAGAAGGGUGUCACCCUUAGCGGAGGACAGCGUGCCCGGAUUGCCCUUGCUCGUGCUGUCUACCAGGAAAAGGAGCUCUAUCUCCUCGAUGACCCUCUGGCCGCUGUGGAUGCAGAUGUGGCCAACCACCUGCUGCACAGGUGCAUCCUGGGCAUGCUGAGCCACACCACACGGCUGCUCUGCACCCACCGCACUGAGUACCUGGAGAGGGCUGACGUGGUGCUGCUGAUGGAGGCCGGGCGCCUCAUCCGGGCUGGUAAUGGGGGCAGGAGCCCCGUGUGAGGGAGGUGUCUGCCCAGGUCUGGCAGGGGAUUGUGAAGUACAGACUCUGCCCCCUGCUGCAUGUGUGCCCUGAGCCAGUCAUUGCUGCCUCCCGCCUUCACAGAACUGGUGUGAGGAACUGGGAGAACAGGAGGGAAAAGGAGCACGUUGGUAAAAUGCCAGUGUAUUUGGGACUCAUGGGCUUUGUGACUGGGUGCUCUUGGGAACUUAAAGGCCCAGGGUCUCUGAGAACAUUCUCAUAUCUUCAGAGAAGAGAAAGGAGUCAGGUUUAGAAUGGUCUUUUUGUAAAAACAAAAAUUUUUAAACUCUGAAAGAUUUUUAUGCAGAGGGAUGUGACCACCUGCAAGUUCACUGGGAGAGAAAUAGGAGGAAAUGAAGCUCCAGCCAGAUAUUAGGAAUUGAGCGAAGCAUGAGAAAAAGCUCUGCAGUAAUGAGAUGUAACCCUGGACAGAGUGGCAGGCAUAGCUCUGGCGGUCCUCUUGGGGAUGGACAUUCGUCCGUUUCUGCUGGUCGGAAUCAAGAUUUACAAGGAUGGACUUGAGUCCUGCUCGAGGUCUAGGGGUAUCCAGAGCAGGGUGGGUUCGAGAGGGAGGCCUAAGAGUCCUGCUCGAGGUCUAGGGGUAUCCUGCUAGGGUGGGUUAGACGGGGAGGCCUGAGAGGAUGAGAGGUGGGAUCUGCACACGCACUGAGAAAGGCAUAGUAUAGACUCAGAACAGUCCUCUCCCAAUCUCCCCUUCUACCCUCCAGGACCUCCCUCUGAGAUUCUGCCACUGGUACAAGCUGUCCCCAAAGCCUGGGCUGAGAAUGGACAAGAGUCUGACUCAGCCACAGCCCAGUCAGUACAGAACCCAGAGAAAACAAAGGAGGGGCUGGAGGAGGAGCAGAGCACAUCUGGUCGCCUGCUGCAGGAAGAAAGCAAGAAGGAGGGCGCCGUGGCCUUGCACGUGUACCAAGCUUACUGGAAGGCCGUGGGCCAGGGCUUGGCCUUAGCCAUCCUCUUCUCUCUGCUUCUCAUGCAAGCCACGCGGAACGCUGCUGACUGGUGGCUCUCCCACUGGAUCUCUCAGCUGAAGGCUGAGAAUAGCUCCCAGGAGGCGCAACCCUCCACCAGCCCAGCUUCUAUGGGGCUCUUCUCUCCGCAGCUGCUCCUCUUUUCCCCUGGAAACCUCUACACCCCAGUGUUCCCACUGCCCAAAGCUGCCCCCAAUGGCUCCUCAGACAUCCGUUUCUACCUCACCGUGUAUGCGACCAUUGCUGGUGUCAAUUCCCUCUGCACCCUUCUCCGGGCAGUGCUCUUUGCAGCAGGCACCCUUCAAGCAGCUGCCACUCUGCAUCGCCGCCUGCUGCAUCGAGUCCUUAUGGCACCAGUGACUUUCUUCAAUGCCACACCCACGGGCCGGAUCCUAAACCGCUUCUCCUCUGAUGUGGCCUGUGCGGAUGACAGCCUGCCCUUCAUCCUCAACAUCCUCCUGGCCAAUGCGGCAGGCCUGCUGGGGCUCCUGGCCGUGCUGGGCUCUGGCCUGCCCUGGCUGCUGCUCCUGCUGCCGCCUUUGAGCAUCAUGUACUAUCACGUGCAGCGCCACUACAGGGCCUCCUCACGGGAGCUGCGGCGCCUGGGCAGCCUCACCCUGUCUCCACUGUAUAGCCAUCUGGCCGAUACCUUGGCUGGCCUCUCUGUGCUCCGGGCCACAGGGGCCACCUACAGGUUUGAGGAGGAGAACCUGCGACUCCUUGAGCUAAACCAGAGGUGCCAGUUUGCCACCAGUGCCACAGUGCAGUGGCUGGACAUUCGGCUACAGCUCAUGGGGGCGGCAGUGGUCAGCGCUAUCGCAGGCAUCGCUCUGGUGCAGCACCAGCAGGGCCUCGCUAACCCAGGGCUGGUGGGCUUGUCACUGUCUUAUGCCCUGUCCCUGACGGGCCUGCUCUCGGGCCUGGUGAGCAGCUUCACACAGACAGAGGCCAUGCUGGUGAGCGUCGAGCGGCUGGAAGAGUACACCUGUGACCUGCCCCAGGAACCCCAGGGCCAGCCACUGCAGCUGGGCACCGGCUGGCUGACCCAGGGGGGCGUGGAGUUCCAGGACGUGGUGUUGGCGUACCGGCCAGGGCUGCCGAAUGCCCUGGAUGGAGUGACCUUCUGCGUGCAGCCUGGAGAGAAGUUGGGCAUCGUGGGCCGCACAGGCUCCGGCAAGUCUUCCCUGUUGUUGGUGCUCUUCCGGCUGCUAGAGCCCAGUUCAGGGCGAGUGCUGCUGGACGGCGUGGACACCAGCCAGCUGGAGCUGGCCCAGCUCAGAUCCCAGCUGGCUAUCAUCCCCCAGGAGCCCUUUUUGUUCAGUGGGACUGUUCGGGAAAACCUGGACCCCCAGGGCCUACAUAAGGACAGGACCUUGUGGCAGGCCCUGGAGCAGUGCCACCUGAGUGAGGUGAUUACAUCCAUGGGUGAGUGCUGGACCCUGACCUUAGAGCAAGAAGGGAGCAGGGAUGGCCUGGGCCCUGCAACGAAGAUGCUUUCCUUGCAGGUGGUCUGGAUGGUGAGCUGGGUGAGGGGGGCCGGAGCUUAUCUCUUGGGCAGAGGCAGCUGUUGUGUUUGGCCAGGGCUCUCCUCACAGAUGCCAAGAUCCUGUGUAUCGAUGAGGCCACAGCAAGCGUGGACCAGAAGACAGACCAGCUGCUCCAGCAGACCAUCUGCAAACGCUUUGCCAACAAGACAGUGCUGACCAUUGCCCAUAGGCUCAACACGAUCCUGAACUCAGACCGGGUACUGGUGCUACAAGCGGGGAGAGUGGUAGAGCUGGACUCCCCGGCCACCCUGCGCAACCAGCCCCACUCCCUGUUCCAGCAGCUGCUGCAGAGCAGCCAGCAGGGAGUCCCUGCCUCACUCGGAGGUCCCUGAGCCCAAUCCCACACCCUGCAGAGUUCUCCCCUCUCUCUGAUCCAGGCCGGGCCUGUACAGAGGUGCUGGCUGCUUGUUUACAUUCUCCUCUGGGGCUCUACCUCUUCACACUUCCCCAGAAGGGAAAAGGGCACCCUGGGUUACUCUUUGGAAAUCACUCCUUGGUGGGCAGCAUCCUGAGGCUUCCCCAGAACCAGGCCUCUGCUCUGGCCCUCUUGCAUCUGGAACGCCAGGUGGGUUUUUCUGGCAUAGGAGGCCACUUGCAUUUUCAUAGUUUUAUUUGAUAAAAUUCCAUCUUACAUUCUGUGUAUUAAAAAAAUAAUAUUUCUGGUGUG